rnacentral:rRNA from 1 species
GCGAGGUGGGGGUGCUAUACAUGCGUCGAGCGGACAGAAGGGAGCUUGCUCCCGGAUGUUAGCGGCGGACGGGUGAGUAACACGUGGGUAACCUGCCUGUAAGACUGGGAUAACUCCGGGAAACCGGAGCUAAUACCGGAUAGUUCCUUGAACCGCAUGGUUCAAGGAUGAAAGACGGUUUCGGCUGUCACUUACAGAUGGACCCGCGGCGCAUUAGCUAGUUGGUGAGGUAACGGCUCACCAAGGCGACGAGCGUAGCCGACCUGAGAGGGUGAUCGGCCACACUGGGACUGAGACACGGCCCAGACUCCUACGGGAGGCAGCAGUAGGGAAUCUUCCGCAAUGGACGAAAGUCUGACGGAGCAACGCCGCGUGAGUGAUGAAGGUUUUCGGAUCGUAAAGCUCUGUUGUUAGGGAAGAACAAGUGCAAGAGUAACUGCUUGCACCUUGACGGUACCUAACCAGAAAGCCACGGCUAACUACGUGCCAGCAGCCGCGGUAAUACGUAGGUGGCAAGCGUUGUCCGGAAUUAUUGGGCGUAAAGGGCUCGCAGGCGGUUUCUUAAGUCUGAUGUGAAAGCCCCCGGCUCAACCGGGGAGGGUCAUUGGAAACUGGGAAACUUGAGUGCAGAAGAGGAGAGUGGAAUUCCACGUGUAGCGGUGAAAUGCGUAGAGAUGUGGAGGAACACCAGUGGCGAAGGCGACUCUCUGGUCUGUAACUGACGCUGAGGAGCGAAAGCGUGGGGAGCGAACAGGAUUAGAUACCCUGGUAGUCCACGCCGUAAACGAUGAGUGCUAAGUGUUAGGGGGUUUCCGCCCCUUAGUGCUGCAGCUAACGCAUUAAGCACUCCGCCUGGGGAGUACGGUCGCAAGACUGAAACUCAAAGGAAUUGACGGGGGCCCGCACAAGCGGUGGAGCAUGUGGUUUAAUUCGAA